AAAAAAAACGAAAAGAAAGACGAAGCCACGAGAUGCCGGGAAAGUGACAACAGCAAGCGCAGCGUGUGCACUUGCGGGCGGCUCUCCUCCUCCCUAGGCGCUGCAAACGAUGUCGAGACAGAAGGCAGCAGCCUGCCUCAAACCACACACCACCCUCGCUCCUUCCGAGCCUGCCGGGCGAUUCGGGAGUCUUCCCUUCCGAGCAAUCGCAGAACAUAAGUUACUGACAAGGGCAAUUGCCUGAAAGAGACAAACAGAACGGAGAUAGUUUGCAACAGAAUGGAUCAUGAAGAGAGAAGAUACACAUAAAUGCUGCUUUCCCACCUUUGAACACACCAGUAUUUGACAGGCAGUGGGAAUCCAUGUCUUUGAACAGGCUUUUACAGUCCUUGUCUGAGGCAAAGGUAAGUGUCAAUUCCUCUGCAGAAUUGUUCCUUACCCUAGUUGGUUUGUCCCUUUUCCCCAAAAGUGUCUUGCAGUUGCCUACUGUACUUAUCUUUACUUCAAGGCCAUUAAGACCACCUCUGGAGAAGGCAUAUACAGCCCUAUCCCCGAGAACUGCCAGCAUUACGGAUGUAUAUCUUGAUGUGCCAGCUUUCUUCUUGCUCAUCCAUAGCAGGCUGCUGCUUCACUGGCUAUAAACCAGCAAUUUUCCUUCUAGUUCAGGCUUCACAAGAAUUAACAGUAAAAAUCAGCCCUGGUUCUUUUAAAGACAACCUGUCUUCUGAAGGCUGCCAUCGUAUGCUUGCCAUUGAUGUCAGCCAAGCAAAGAAUAAGACUCUAAAAUGAGUUCAGUUGUUUUUAGGGUUCAGUAAUAUCUCUGUAUCAAAAAAUAAUAAGCUUUUUACAUCUGGAAGUCAGUCUACCAAAGACUUUAAAAUUAGAGUCCACGAACAGGGAGAGAUAGAUGGUUGCACCUGGACAUGUGGCACAACACCUUUUGCAUCUCUGUUUUCCUUGGCUUGGACUAGCCAGAUUUUGCUUGACAGUGCAACUGAACCCUAAUGAUGCUGUUUAUUUGUUUUCAAACAGUGGAGAAGGCACCUUCAUAGAACUGGCACUCAGUACAGAGCUGCUGUUCCACUUUGGGGUAGUGCAUUCCCUAUUAUACUUAUUGUUCUGCAUUUAUUCUAUUGCCUGGUACUGUAAUACACUGCUCUCAGUAUGCUAAUGGGAUUUCAUGGGGCUGCCAUCACCAGCUUGAUUUGUAACAGGAAGCCAGAACAAUAAAGGCUUUGAGAAGAAUAAUAUGAGAAAUGCAUGCCCCUAUAGAGGGGCAUCAAUGCAAAAUGAAAAACAACACUGUCUUCCAUUGCUUGUUACUGCCAUCUCAUUUUCACCAGUAAAUAACUAGUGCAUUUCUCUCCACAAUGAACACCAACAAAAGGAAGACAGCCUUUAUCAACAAUGGGCAUACUAUCGGAGGGGACAGAGAGGGCAGAAUUCCUCUCAGGCAUUCUGUACAGUCACCUGUGAUUCCUCACUGCUCCCAAGACCACUGUGUUUAAAGAAGCUCCCUCAAAUUUUACUUCACUGACAACCCACAACUUUCUAUUAGAAAAUUCACAAGGCAUUAACAAAGGUUCUGGCAAUUUAGGAGUAGGUUCUGAUUAAUGAACACAUGAAGAACUUCUAGUGAAGAUGUUUUGUCUACUCCCAUAAUUCAAAUGAUAAUCUGCAUUUUGUAGAAACAGAGUGUACAACAGUGCUGUUGACAUCAGAGCAGCCACCUAGCAGCAAGGUAAGGAGGCCUUAGGAAAUGGUUUCUUAAUUUUCAGUGGGCAUACAUUAACAUGACAUAAGUUGGUCCAAAGUUACUGGUUGUUUUCUAAGUCACUCAGUGUUCUUGCCUUUAUUUGGAAAUUCAAAUAACUAAAAGAAGAUAGGUAUUUUUAUUAAUUUCUGUCUUAUCUAUUUGCAUUUCAAUUAUGUUGUUAUUUCAGUGCAAAAAACUACAGCAGGGGAUGGAGAAAAACAUUGGAAGAAUGAUUAACAUGAAGUUAUUUCCCUUGUUGAAGACCAGAUUAACCUUUCAGGAGCCUUUGGCAGGCCACACAUCAGGUGCCACCUGAAAUAUGAAAACAGAACCAGCUGGUGUGGCAUGCAUGCAGAGGCAGUGCAGAACGUAUUAUAUGGCUCACAGGCUGCCAGGAAAAGGUUGCAUUAAUAUGCAGAAACCAACAUCAUCCCAGAACAGUUCCUCAAAAAUUUACAUGGCCCUGGAGUCUUUUACUCUACUUUCCCCCUUGGAGUGCCACAGCUUUGGGGUGAUGCAAAAAGUGGCUGUGAUGCAAACCAAUUGUUCUGGAUCACAAGUGCUCCUGCUUGUGUCUGCCCCCAGCGAUUCUCAUGCUCUCUUAUCUGCAGGUUGUGUGCUAGGCACUGCUCCAAAAAGCACUUUUACAGCACUAUUUUUGUGUUUAGCUUGGGAAUUAGUUUAUUUAGCUUGGGAAUUUCUUAGCUCAGGUACUAUGCCAUCCUUCUAUGUGCUGACUUCAGGAAGCUCAAGGAACCAGGCAUUAGCAAGAGGCAGCAGCUGUACCUGGUGCACAUCCUCCAAGUGCCCAUAUGUCCAGAAGUGUCAGAAUUUUUUGACCCAAGACAUGCAGCUCACAAGCUAGCUCUGGUUUGCUAGAAGGGUCUGACUGAGAUAAAUACAACAGCAUUUCUGAACAGUGCCUGUGUGUUAGUACAUUAGCACGUAAAUAAAUAAAAAGUAAUGAAUAACUGGGAGAACAGUUCUGCCUCCUGUCACAAUUAAGCAUACUGGAAGACUGCUGUGGGUCCAUGUGCUAUUUCUGAUAACAAUGCAGUGUGUUGAGGUGUCUCAUUUCUCAUGUACUCUAGACAAGUGUGCACGGUAACAAUACCUGUAAUCUACUGCAGUAGUUCUGCUGUGAAAGUAGUAAAAAACUGGCUAUUUUGUGAUGUAUUUCUUCACUUAAGUGUGCUAGACGGGUUCUAAAUUGAUUUAAGUGUGACUUGGUUAAACUGUAUUAAAAUCUAAACUCCAUUAAAAUAUUAUCAAUUGAUGUGCCUUGCAGGAAUUUUACUUCAUGAACAAAACCAUGGUUUAGAGAUUUAUCUCCUCUUUUCCUUGUCAGUCUCCUGGAAUCUAGACUCCAAUGAAUGCAUGAACAAAUAGUUCAAAUCUGUGACUGUUUCAUUGUUCUGCUCUUUAGCUGUGAUAUCCCUGUAGGUUUUCUCCCUUUUCUGCAUGACUGCGUGGAUGUGCUUGACAGCUCACUGCCACAGACCUAGGAAACUUCUCUGAUUUGGCAAUGGUGUACAGAGAGGUAACAAAUUUUGAUGACAAAACCAAGGUGCUUAGGAUGGCAAUGAUGGAGUUACCUGUGCAGAACUGUGGAAGAACUUUGUGGGACUAUGGACUUGGAGAUUAAAAUUACAGAUGAAAUUUAACAAGAUAAUUACAGAUGGAUACACACAGGACAUGGCCUUCCUCUCCUUUCCCCCAUGAGUUCAUAGGGAAAAUAUAAAAUAAGUGGUCUGAGCUGACAGUAAUGAGUCAGGACUUGGACUUGAGUUUGUAACAGAAAAUUUCAUGAAAAAAUCUACUUAGUGGUCAAAAAAGCACACUAACUGUUGGGAAGUAUUAGGAAAGAAUACAGACAAAAGAAUUUUACUAUCGUGUCAAUCUGUAGUGGGUCUAUUUUCUUUUGCUUUCAGAAAGUUGGUCUUUAGCAAAUAUCCAGAAAAGGACAAGUCAAGACAAUUAGAGGAGAUGGAUCUUGCACACACUAUAGGUAAUUACGUGGUAGGAAUUCUUCACCAUAGAUUCCUGUGAAACCUAAUAUUUCACACCUAACAUUUAAUUUCAUUUUUUAAUGAAAAUUGAACUAACUAAUGGAAGGUGGAUACCUGAAGCCUUCUAAAAUGUGAAAAAUCACCUCUGACUCAGGAACCCUACAAGCUGCAAGUUCUGAGAACCUAGAAAAGAUUUAAGGGAAGACCAGCUGUAUCCUUGCUUUGCUCUGAAGGCACCUCUCUAGGAGAUAACUUUUGACCCAUCUUAGGCCAGAAAUUCUGACCAACUCAGGCAAUUUUUAUAAUCAUAUGGUGUAAAAUACAUAAAUAAACUUUCUAAAGCCCCUCCAGAGAAGGAGGGCACGGAGGUGGCGGAAAGGCUUAGCUUUCUGCUUCUCUGGUUGUAAUAAGGUUUUGAAAGUGUAUAGGAACACGCAUAAAGACUGAGAUUCAAACUGGAUGUAAACCACCAAAAAUGUUUGAGGUUCUUUAGACAAGAAUUGCUCUAAGUGACAAAAGUUGAUUGAAUAUUGCAGUUCUAGUUUGGAAUUAUGAAUCUUGUGUGUAAUCUAAGUGUUUCUCUUCGAAAAUAUUAAGUAGUCCCAGACAAUUUAGCUGACAAGGAUUAUUCAGGUGCUUGUCUUUAAGUGGGGGGAAAAAGUACACAAUGAAGAAAGAAUAAACACGUUGAAAGAUGGACUUUUGAGUUGGAUUUUUUUUUGUUUGUUUGUUUUGUGGGUUUUUUUUUAACUAUUCACAGCUAAAAUGAAUUCUAGGCUGUGUUAAUUUCAUUGUCUCGUACUUGCACUUGCAGGGAAUUUUGGUCUUCUGCCAAUUUGUUUCCAAGUGAUUUUUGGCCAGGAAAUAUUAAUAAAUAGAGCUCUAGUAAUUGCAUGUUCUUUUUUUUUUAAACCAUGUAUUCAUGGGUAAGUUAUUUUUAAUCUACUAAUUAUUUAUGUAGCUUCUAUUUUCCACAGUAUAUAAAAUUUUGCUUCAAGCCUGCAAAAUUUAAAAUACUGAGAUCCUGAAAAUAAUAAAUAAUUUGCAUAAAACUGAGAAGACAGUUUAAGAAUUCUGUCAAUGAAAAACAUUUUUUCAAGGAACAAAGAAUAUUUCGCUAUAGGUGCCUAUUUUGGCACAGACUCUUUCUUCAGUGUCUGUCUUGUAAUGGACAUCCCCCAUUUUGGAAGGACAGUGGCUACAAAAUCACCAAGACAUCAGAGGUUACUUUUGUCCUAGAGUUCCUGAUACGUUUGAGUAUGCAUAUAAAACAUAAAUCUAACAGAAACAUGUCAUAUUGUCUACUUUGCUUUUAUAAAAUCUUACUUUCAAAAGUUCAAAUAUCUGAAAAAAUCAGUGUUUCUAUCGCAGUUAAUCCUAACUGGAAGAUCCACUUAUCUGUGUCAAGAUGAAAGCAUGAACUAUCCCAAAUAAAGGGCUUUCAUGGCUAAAGUAGAACCAGAGUGGAGCUACACCAUGAAAGUGUAAGACUGAGGUCCAUACAUACUGUCUUUCAAUUGUAGCCCUGGGCAUAUCCUUCUUUGACUUAAAAGUCUUAAAAGCGCUCUGAUUCAGAGAUACUUUUGCAGCUCUCAGUGCUAAGCUCCGUGUUUCUGCCUGAUACUAUGCACGACUCCACCUAUGUGCUACCCUCCAAAUAUAUGUGACUCCUUGUUGUCAGGAUCAGAUUCUCAUCUAAAUGCUGGUGUGGUCAAAUCGUUUGUCUCAGGAGAGAAAGGAGCAGCCACCACUCACUGGAUAACAAAAGCAUUCAGUCAACUUGUGGGAGACUUCGGUUCAGUCCUUCUCACAGCUUGAGAAAGCUUGCAUGUAAUUUCCCACUCCUGUGUAUUCAAAGCAAAAAAGAAGAAUGAUAGUUGUCCUCAUUUUCUUCCAGACUUUUAGUCAAGAGAAAGGAUGCUGCAGGUUGCAACAGCAGAGCUCUUUGCUUGGUGAAAGCACAGGGUGCCUGUCUCUGCAGAGCACCACAUCACCUCUUUGGUAGCUGAGGCAUUCAGCACUGGAAUGACAUUGUUGUACGGUGGUGAGAAAGUUUCCCUGCUGUUACAAGGAGUAGGAAACAAGAAGUUACAGGGAAGGACAGGAUGUCUUCCUCCCUCAUUGCCUUCCAAUAAAACACAAGUACAGUUUCAACUGCUUACUAAAGCUGGGCUCAGAGCUGGAGCAUGGUGAGGGGCCUGCCUGCAGCCCUGACACUGGGUGUCACUGUGAUUUCCUAAUCACUUGCUCGAUUUGCAAGAUGUCCAGAUUGUCCUCCCAAGGGAUUUUGGCUCCAUUGGCAGUAUGUAUGGGGCAGAAAACACCAAAUUCAAAACUAUGGAUGCCGCUCCAGAGGCCUGCAUGUUUCAUAUAAUUUAUUAUAUGGCCCUACUGGGUCAUUUGUUACUCUACAUACU